rnacentral:rRNA from 1 species
GGACCCGCACAAGUAGUGGAGCAUGUGGUUUAAUUCGAUACAACGCGAAGAACCUUACCUACUCUUGACAUCCUUGGAAUCCUCUGGAGACAGAGGAGUGCCUUCGGGAACCAAGUGACAGGUGCUGCAUGGCUGUCGUCAGCUCGUGUCGUGAGAUGUUGGGUUAAGUCCCGUAACGAGCGCAACCCUCGUCCUUAGUUGCCAGCACGUCAUGGUGGGAACUCUAAGGAGACUGCCGGUGAUAAACCGGAGGAAGGUGGGGAUGAUGUCAAGUCAUCAUGGCCCUUACGAGUAGGGCUACACACGUGCUACAAUGGGCAGUACAAAGGGUUGCCAAGCCGCGAGGUGGAGCUAAUCCCAUAAAGCUGUUCGUAGUCCGGAUUGGAGUCUGCAACUCGACUCCAUGAAGUCGGAAUCGCUAGUAA